rnacentral:rRNA from 1 species
UACGUAGGGUGCGAGCGUUGUCCGGAAUUAUUGGGCGUAAAGAGCUUGUAGGCGGUUUGUCGCGUCUGCUGUGAAAAUCCGGGACUCAAUUCCGGACUUGCAGUGGGUACGGGCAGACUAGAGUACGGUAGGGGAGACUGGAAUUCCUGGUGUAGCGGUGAAAUGCGCAGAUAUCAGGAGGAACACCGAUGGCGAAGGCAGGUCUCUGGGCCGUAACUGACGCUGAGAAGCGAAAGCAUGGGGAGCGAACAGG